rnacentral:tRNA from 1 species
CGGGAUGUGGCUCAAGUGGUAGAGUGCUCACCUGGCAUGCGUGAGGCACUGGGUUUGAUCCUCAGCACCACAG